GGGCGGGGUGCUAUACAUGCAGUCGAGCGGACAGAUGGGAGCUUGCUCCCUGAUGUUAGCGGCGGACGGGUGAGUAACACGUGGGUAACCUGCCUGUAAGACUGGGAUAACUCCGGGAAACCGGGGCUAAUACCGGAUGCUUGAUUGAACCGCAUGGUUCAAUUAUAAAAGGUGGCUUUUAGCUACCACUUACAGAUGGACCCGCGGCGCAUUAGCUAGUUGGUGAGGUAACGGCUCACCAAGGCAACGAUGCGUAGCCGACCUGAGAGGGUGAUCGGCCACACUGGGACUGAGACACGGCCCAGACUCCUACGGGAGGCAGCAGUAGGGAAUCUUCCGCAAUGGACGAAAGUCUGACGGAGCAACGCCGCGUGAGUGAUGAAGGUUUUCGGAUCGUAAAACUCUGUUGUUAGGGAAAAACAAGUACCGUUCAAAUAGGGCGUUACCUUGACGGUACCAACCCAAAAACCCGGGUUUAAUAACUUCCCACAACCCGGGUAAGUACUUAGGGGCAAGCCGUGGUCGGAAAUAAUGGGCCUUAAUUGGGCGCAGCCGGUUCAUUACUUUGAAGUUGAAGCCUGCGGCUCACCCGCCAAGCGCAUUGGAAAAUGGGGGAGCUGCGUGCUAAAGAGGAGAGAGCCAUCUCACGUGUAGCGGUGAAGUGUAUAGAGAUGUGUAGGAGCGCAUCUGACGAUGUUACUCUCUGAGCUUUAGCGACGCUGAGGCGC
rnacentral:rRNA from 1 species